rnacentral:rRNA from 1 species
AUCGAACGCUAGCGGGAUGCUUUACACAUGCAAGUCGAACGAGUGGCGGACGGGUGAGUAAUGUCUGGGCACCUGCCUGACGGAGGGGGAUAACUACUGUAAACGGUAGCCAAUACCGCAUACCAUCGGAUGUGCCCAGAGGGGAUGAGCUUGUUGGUGUGGUAUCGGCUCACCAAGGCGACGAUCCCUAGCUGGCCUGAGAGGAUGACCAGCCACACUGGGACUGAGACACGGUCCAGACUCCUACGGGAGGCAGCAGUGUGGAAUAUUGCACAAUGGGCGCAAGCCUGAUGCAGCCAUGCCGCGUGUAUGAAGAAGGCCUUCGGGUUGUAAAGUACUUUCAGCGGGGAGGCGUUACCCGCAGAAGAAGCACCGGCUAACUCCGUGCCAGCAGCCGCGGUAAUAC